AGACACUUAAUCUGGAAAGGCAAGGCAAGACAUCUUUAUUUGUAGAGCACAUUUCAGCAACAGGGAAAUUCAAAGCGCUUUACA